rnacentral:rRNA from 1 species
CAGUAGCCGCGGUAAUACGUAGGGCGCGAGCGUUGUCCGGAAUUAUUGGGCGUAAAGAGCUUGUAGGCGGUUGGUCGCGUCUGCUGUGAAAGGCUGGGGCUUAACCCUGGUUUUGCAGUGGGUACGGGCUAACUAGAGUGCAGUAGGGGAGACUGGAAUUCCUGGUGUAGCGGUGGAAUGCGCAGAUAUCAGGAGGAACACCGAUGGCGAAGGCAGGUCUCUGGGCUGUAACUGACGCUGAGAAGCGAAAGCAUGGGGAGCGAACAGGAUUAGAUACCCCCGUAGUCCCUGUCUCUUAUAC